UGCGUAGGUGGUGAGGUAAGUCGGAUGUGAAAUCUCCGGGCUCAACCCGGAAAUGGCAUUGGAAACUACCUUGCUGGAGGAUUUGAGGGGGGGAGUUGGAAUACUUGGUGUAGCAGUGAAAUGCGUAGAUAUCAAGUGGAACACCAGUGGCGAAGGCGAAUCCCUGGAAAAUAACCUGACACUGAGGCACGAAAGCUAGGGGAGCAAACA
rnacentral:rRNA from 1 species